rnacentral:rRNA from 1 species
CAGCCGCCGCGGUAAUACGAAGGGGGCUAGCGUUGCUCGGAAUUAUUGGGCGUAAAGAGCUCGUAGGCGGUUUGUCGCGUCUGCUGUGAAGACUGGAGGCUCAACCUCCAGCCUGCAGUGGGUACGGGCAGACUAGAGUGCGGUAGGGGAGAUUGGAAUUCCUGGUGUAGCGGUGGAAUGCGCAGGUAUCAGGAGGAACACCGAUGGCGAAGGCAGAUCUCUGGGCCGUAACUGACGCUGAGGAGUGAAAGCAUGGGGAGCGAACAGGAUUAGAUACCCGAGUAGUCCCUGUCUCUUAUAC